ACUGAAGACAUUUGCAUGGCAGUUCGCACAGGCAGGACAAGCAGGAAGGCCUCCUCUCUGACCAUCUGGGAGCAACCAAUAGAGGCAACAAACAGACUCAGAAAGCAGGGCCACCUUUAAGACUGCUAUGUCACUUGUGUGGAUGGAAAAUCUCUUCUGGACAGCAAGUUCAUCAAGACAAACCAGAAUGUGGCAUGAUAUAGUUGCCUGAGAGUUGGCACUCUCUAGGAUACCAGAGGUAACUAUAGUGGACUGGCAGCUGGGACACAGAUUGUUGGAGGCCCUUGCACUUCUUCAGUGGCAGCUGGAGUGCAGAAGAAAUAAAAUGCUGCUCAUCUUAGAUAGAAGUAACAGGUGAAAGCUGGUUCCACUUGCACAUGGUAUGAAAAUUCAAAUACUGAAGAACAAAGUAAAUCGUAUAUUGGAAUAUUCAGAUUUUAAUAAAUGAUCUUUUCCAUUCCAAGACCAAUACUGCUUAUAUUUGUAUCCUAUAAUCAGACUUAGGAUUUGGUGUUGGUGAAGAAAUUUCUCUCUUAGCCUGUAGCCAUGUGCUUUCUAGUGUUCUUUCAUCCAACAAUUUUAUUUGUCCUCUUUUGGUCCCAUUUUUAUUCUGUUCUGCAUACUCACACUUUCUGAUCCCCUGCCUUGGAUUUCAUUUUCUCAGCUCUUAUCCCAGCAGAUUUCUUUUCAAAAUACAGGCAUAGCUCUGAGAAAAAGGCUUGGGAAGGAGGAUCCCUGGGGAGAAGGCCUCAGGGGAAAUGAAACAUCUCAGCUUAAAUGUAACAAUGAGUCUAUCACAGGAUUGCACAGAGAUGAAUGCAGUUAAGUGUGCUAGGUUUGUAUUGUAUGUUUCUUGAACAGCAAUUCUAACUUCCCUGUACUAAAUAAUCAUACUUCAAACCUAUCUAAAAGAAUUUUUUUAAUUAAGCAAUAUGAGAAAGAUAUUUGAACUUUAGGUUAAAAAAAAGUUUUUAUUUCACUCAAUAAUACAGAUCUAUUUACUGGUCAUUUGGGCUAAAUUUCAAAAAACUUUGCACCCCAAAAAAGUACCUAGUCCUGGGGUAUUAAAGCAGCAUAUAUUAACAGAAAUUUUAUGGUUGACAGCUGGGCCGGUUGAUGAUAGCUGAAGAAAAACAAGUUUUGCUAACUGGAAAGAUUAUUACUAAAGGGCUUACACUAGUGAGAUGGCAAAAUCAAAUACAGAUUGUGCCUUUAGCUAUUGGGAUUGUAAUAUGUGUGACUGUGAAAUCUACAUAUGCAACCUGAUGAUUUUUCAUGGCACGUUUUUACUCAUUCUGUAUAUGAAAGACAAAUGGUAUCUUGUUUUCCUGGCACCACACCAAAGAAUUUCUUGAUGUAAGAUACAGCCUAAACAGAACAAUGUCAUGAUUUUAUGCAAAUUGUGCUGGCUCAUCUGCACUAAUUCUUAGUAAUCAUUAAGGUUUUAAAAAUAUAUAUGUCACUCUAUUUACCAGUCACCUGUGAUAUUUGUUUUCCAGAAUCUAACAUAUAAAACUGGGUUUAAUAUACUAUAUAUCGGUUUAUGCUAAUGUAGAAAACUGAGUUUUCAACUACUAUAGAGCCAUCAAUAGCUAAAUUCUGUGGUAUAACUUCAGAGACUUGGAUAACACAGGCCUUUUAACCUUUAGCCAGCACUUUAUAGCACAGGUUAUAAAUUAGGAAGGAAUUUGACUUUUAGUGGCUUCAUAUUACAGUCUAUCAGGACAGUGUAGAAACAGGAGCUAUUUCUAUUAGCAUAGUAAUGAAACAUUUUUUCCAGAGAUAGUGAAUGAAAUCAACCCGCUAAUUAGAUUUUAUGUGUAAUACUUGAUGGUCAACAUUAUUCAAAAGAGAUAGCAAAAGCUUCCAUUUAAUGCAGCCAAUAUUCUUGUUUAUAUUGGACAAAGAAAAAGAAAGAGAAGAUAGAAUAAGACACCAUGACAGUAGUGCAUCUCACCUUUUCACUUCCAUUAUGCAGAUCUGAAAAGGAAAAAAACUACUAUAGAGGAGAAAAGAAAUAAUUCUCAACACAGCAUGAUAUUCAUCACUUAAUUCAGAAAAGGUGUUGCACAUGAUUAUAGAUGUAGAACAUACACAUUCAUCAGCUAUGAUAUACCUACAUUUAGGUAAGAAGUGUAAUAUUUUGUAUCUCACCCUGCUUCAAAAGGUAAUGAAAAAACCUGAAAUCCAGAGAAUAUUGUUUCCAAUGUUCUAACAGUGUCCUCUGGCAUAUUUGCUGAAACUCAGUUGCCCUGAGAUAUGGCUGCAAGGCUGGUGAGACCAGUGGCACUGAAUCAACAGAAUUUGAUUUCUGGCCACUUUUGUUCAGACUAUCAAACCAAGUCCAAUAGUAAGAAUAUGCAGCUAGGGAACAUUAAUACUGUUGCAUUUUAUAUAAACCAAUAUAAGAGUAGUACUAAACCUUUUAGUAAGAGGGAUUCUGUAUUCAUGAAGGCAAGGUUGAUUAAUUCUGUUCUGUAACAUAUCAAAUGCAUAUCUAGAAUUACCAAAGAGCAUAUCUCAGUCUUUUCUAUAAGAUAUGUAUGAAUACUUUUACUAUAAUUUUUUCUUUUCUACUUUUAUAUUCCUUUUCUUACCUUCUUCCCCUCUACAUAUCUAGUACCUUUAAUAGCUCUUUCUCUGUUUCUCAUGUACUUAUCAUGACUCAAUAACACAUGUAGAUUUUCCUUCCUGCUUGCAGAAUUAUUGCAUAAUUUAGUAUUCAAUGCAAGGAUUUUCAGAGGAAUUUACUGUAUAAUUUUUAACAUAAUAAAAUUCAUAAAAAUAAUGUAUAGGAGUAUGCUUCAAUGAAAAAUGAAAAAAUAAUUGUUUCAUUCAUAUGAGCAACAAGAAGAGGUUGAAAAGGAAACAUUCUUUUAACAGAAAAUCUCUGAUUAUGCAGCUGUAGAAAGAAAAGGUAAUUGACAUUUACUCACUCUCAUAUAGAGACUAAAUGACUGCUUUCAUCAUAUCUCUUUCGCACAGUAUUUAAACUCUAAGUGGAAAUAGCUUUUGACAAAUUGCAAGUAACUCAGCAAAUAUAUUAAUAGUAAUUUAUGUGAAUUUUGUAUAAUAUAAUUUAUGCCAAGAUUGCUGAAAUUUUGUCGGAUCAUCACUCUAUGAAAGUACAGAAUAAUAUAUUGACCUCCUCAAGUAAAAAACUUUAAAUAGAGCUUAUCUGGCAUUUUUUUUCUCAUUAUAGAAUAAGCAGCUGCAUUAACUGCUUACCAAAGAUUCAUAAUAUAUUGCUCUUCUACUUUAUUCAGCUCUUGAGUAGAAAUGAUUCCAAAAUACAACCUUACAUGUAAACAGUCUCUCGCUGUUCAUAAUUCUGUUGUAUAAACAGAUUUUCACCUACAUAAACAGAUACAAACAACACCAAAUACUCUCAUAUUGUGGGGGGUUGAACACUGCGGAUUUCAAUCUAAAUGUUGUACCUUCAGUGUGCUCCUUAAUCAAGGUGAAUUGACUGAAUAUUUUUCUCUUUGUGUGUGCUCUUCACAGUUGUCUAAGACUUCCAUAACAGAGUCAACAUCUACAGAGAAAUGUGUCAUAGCUACAGAAAAACUACUUUAUAUAUGUAAUGUUUUAUUUAAUCUAAUAUCUAAAAGAUGACAGAACAUUUUGAAAUCUUAAUACAAAAUGAGAAACAAUCUAAAUAUUGCUCUAGAAAAAAUUGUUCAAAAUUUUUCUCUUUUUCAUGUAAAUGUAAAACUAAUUCUGUCCCCACUUUAUUCCCCUUUCCACACUAUAACCCUAUAUUUCAGUGAUAAAGUAUUAAGUUUGGCAUUUCAUUGUUUUUACACUAUGGAAAAUAGGGAAUAUUCAUUCCUAUUCAUUGUAUCCAUGACUUUUUGUGAUUUCAGAGUCAUCUAUCAUAUUCACUCUUUAUUUUAUUUUUAUUAUUAUUUAUUU